CAGCAGCCGCGGUAAUACCGGCGGCCCGAGUGGCGGUCACUAUUAUUGGGCUUAAAGCGUCCGUAGCCGGGCUGGGAAGUCCUCCGGGAAAUCUGGCCGCUUAACGGUCAGAAUGCCGGAGGAUACUCCCAGCCUAGGGAGCGGGAGAGGCCGAGGGUAUUCCCGGAGUAGGGGUGAAAUCCUAUAAUCCCGGGAGGACCACCUGUGGCGAAGGCGCUCGGCUGGAACGCGUCCGACGGUGAGGGACGAAGGCCAGGGGAGCAAACCGGAUUAGAUACCCGGGUAGUCCUGGCUGUAAACGAUGCGGACUUUGUGUCGGACAAGCUAUGAGCUUGUCCGGUGCCGGAGGGAAACCGUUAAGUCCGCCGCCUGGGGAGUACGGCCGCAAGGCUGAAACUUAAAGGAAUUGGCGGG
rnacentral:rRNA from 1 species